CAGAGUUACAUCACGAGUCAGAGCUGGGUGGGCACUGAGUAUUGAUAGCUCAGACCCCUGAACAGAAGGUCACAGGGUAUGGUGAAGUGUAUCUGUCAUUCCAGCACUUCCCACACAAAAGCAGGAGGACCAAGUUUAUGGUUCUUCUUAACUGAAUAGUGAGUUUGAAGCCAGCCUAGCCAACAUAGCAGAGAGCAGACCACGGAGACAUGCCAGAGCAAUGGAAACCGGAAAUGAGGUAACUGGAGUGUCCAUGUUGAGAGGAGUGGGUUAGUGGCCAUAAGAGUCCACCUCCCCUGUUCUGCGGAAACUUACCACCACUCCUUCCCACCAUCUAUGAGAAGCAUGAAGCCUACACCAUAAGAUGGUAGAUCUAAUCUUGAACGUUCCAGCCUUCAGACCACAGAGCAAAGAACAUCAGAAAAGAUGCUCAUUCCUUCUGGGACUGUCUGUUACAGUCACCUCUGCUUGGCUCAAAGGUAACUUAGGCUCAUACUCCUAAAGGCCUGGGGUUCAGUGCACAAGUGCAGCCGCAAGAGCCUGGCUUUCAUUGCUUCUAGACCUAAGAAAGGAAGAGAAUCAGCUCUCGGCUCAUCUCCUGAGAAAAUUCUGACAGCUGGACACCGGAUAUUCAUGACAGUGAGACUCUCCAG
rnacentral:lncRNA from 1 species